GGGGAGUAUGGUCGCAAGGCUGAAACUUAAAGGAAUUGACGGAAGGGCACCACCAGGAGUGGAGCCUGCGGCUUAAUUUGACUCAACAUGGGGAAACUUACCAGGUCCAGACAUAGUAAGGAUUGACAGACUGAGAGCUCUUUCUUGAUUCUAUGGGUGGUGGUGCAUGGUCGUUCUUAGUUGGUGGAGCGAUUUGUCUGGUUAAUUCUGUUAACGAACGAUACCUCAGCCUCCUAACUACUAUGUGGAGGUAACCCUCCACGACCAGCUUCUAAGAGGGACUAUGGCCACUUAGGCCACUGACGUUUGAGGUAAUAACAGGUAUGUGAUGCCCUUGGAUGUUCUGGGCCGAACAUGCGCUACAUUGAUCUAUUCAACGAAUCUAUAGCUUUGGCCGAUAGACCUGGGUAAUCUUUGAAAUUUCAUCGUGAUGGAAAUAGAUCAUUGCAAUUAUUGCUUUUCAACGAGGAAUUCCUGGUUAUUUAUUUAUUAUUAUUAUUAUUUAUCUCUUAUUUAUGUUUGUUUA
rnacentral:ncRNA from 2 species